rnacentral:tRNA from 1 species
GGGUGUGUGACGCAAUGGACAACGCAUCUGACUACGGAUCAGAAGAUUCCGGGUUCGAAUCCCGGUGCACCCC